CCACAACCAACCUCCAGAGGCCAAUCUCCAUGACGAUUAAUUGACAAAGAGUAGGAAUCAUCGCGACAAAGUGACUCGAAAACACGGCUACGUCUUCGUUCGAGACAUCCUCUCUUUUUCUCUUCUCUCUUGACCAAACUCAACAUUAUUCACAGUCUUGAAUCCAAGAUAAACCCCGCACGAUUCACUAUCAGCUUAUCGAUCAUCGUCGUCGAAAUCUAUUCUUCGCCUUGUACACCGAUACCCUUUCACCUUUCACGAUUCUUAAUUUCUCUUUUUCAAAGCUUCGUGGUUACACUCCUACUUUCAGGCUAUUUGAUGGCUUCCGGCACGCGACAGCCUAGGCUAUUCCUCCCGAUGACGCAUCCUGAAUCAGACCAAAGGACGUCGAUGCCAGUUUAUUCCGUGAGAUGACGACAGAGGAGGGCUAAAAAGGCCAGAAGGUGCGUUUGG
rnacentral:misc_RNA from 1 species